CUCGUAAAGAGCUCGUAGGCGGAUGGUCGCGUCUGCUGUGAAAACCCGAGGCUCAACCUCGGCGUGCAGUGGGAUACGGGCCGACUAGAAUGUGGUAGGGGAGACUGGAAUUCCUGGUGUAGCGGUGAAAUGCGCAGAUAUCAGGAGGAACACCGAUGGCGAAGGCAGGUCUCUGGGCCAUUAUUGACGCUGAGAAGCGAAAGCAUGGGGAGCGAACAGGAUUAGAUACCCUGGUAGUCCAUGCCGUAAACGUUGGGCACUAGGUGUGGGGUCCAUUCCACGGGUUCCGCGCCGUAGCUAACGCAUUAAGUGCCCCGCCUGGGGAGUACGGCCGCAAGGCUAAAACUCAAAGGAAUUGACGGGGGCCCGCACAAGCGGCGGAGCAUGCGGAUUAAUUCGAUGCAACGCGAAGAACCUUACCAAGGCUUGACAUUCACCGGAUCGCCGCAGAGAUGUGGUUUCCCUUUGGGUCGGUGGACAAGUGGUGCAUGGUUGUCGUCAGCUCGUGUCGUGAGAUGUUGGGUUAAGUCCCGCAACGAGCGCAACCCUCGUUCUAUGUUGCCAGCGGGUUAUGCCGGGGACUCAUAGGAGACUGCCGGGGUCAACUCGGAGGAAGGUGAGGACGACGUCAAAUCAUCAUGCCCUUUAUGUCUUGGGCUUCACGCAUGCUACAAUGGCCGGUACAAAGGGCUGCGAUACCGCGAGGUGGAGCGAAUCCCAAAAAGCCGGUCUCAGUUCGGAUUGGGGUCUGCAACUCGACCCCAUGAAGUCGGAGUCGCCAGUAAUCGCAGAUCAGCAACGCUGCGGUGAAUACGUUCCCGGGCCUUGUACACACCGCCCGUCACGUCACGAAAGUCGGUAACACCCGAAGCCCAUGGCCCAACCGGUUUACCGGGGGGAGGGUCGAAGGUGGGA
rnacentral:rRNA from 1 species